AGCUAACCUACUCUUAGGUUAAGGAUACCCUCGGGAAACUGAGGUUAACACUUAAUAUUGGAUAUACACUGGAAGGAUUUAUCCAUGAAACUUGCGCCUAAGAAUGGGGCUGCGGCGGAUUAGGUUGUUGGCGGGGUAAAGGCCCACCAAGCCGUUGAUCCGUAAGGGCUCUUAGCGGAGAGGCCCUGAGAGGAAAUCUGAGACACUAUUUCCAGCCCUACGGGGUGCAGCAGUUAGGAAUAAUCUACAAUACGCGCAAGCGUGAUAGUUUGAAUCAGAGUGCGUUUCAACAUGAAAUGCUUUUGCCAAAUGUAAAAAGUUUGGCGAAUAAGGACUGGGUAAGACGAGUGCCAGCCGCCGCGGUAAUACUCGCGGNCCAAGUCGCAGCCAUUUUUAUUGGGUCUAAAACAUCCGUAGCUUGCUUAAUAAGUUCCUUGUGAAAUUCUAUAUCUUAAAUAUGGAGCGCGCGGGGAAUACUGUUGAGCUANAGACUGGAAGACGUAACGAGUACGUUCUAAGUAAUGGUAAAAUAUGUUAAUCUAAGACGGACUAACAACAGCGAANGCACGUUACGAGGACAGUUCUGACAGUAAGGGAUGAAGGCCAGGGGCGCAAAACGGAUUANAUACCCGUGUNGUCCUGGCANNAAACACCUGCACACUAAACAUUNNUAUCUNCUCCAGAGGUAUUGGGUGCUNAAAGGAAGCCGAACAGUGGUGCUACCUGNGAAGUNUNAACCCCAAGGCCCGAAACUUAA
rnacentral:rRNA from 1 species